rnacentral:rRNA from 1 species
GACGAACGCUGGCGGCGUGCUUAACACAUGCAAGUCGAACGGAAAGGCCCUGCUUUUGUGGGGUGCUCGAGUGGCGAACGGGUGAGUAACACGUGAGUAACCUGCCCUUGACUUUGGGAUAACUUCAGGAAACUGGGGCUAAUACCGGAUAGGAGCUCCUGCUGCAUGGUGGGGGUUGGAAAGUUUCGGCGGUUGGGGAUGGACUCGCGGCUUAUCAGCUUGUUGGUGGGGUAGUGGCUUACCAAGGCUUUGACGGGUAGCCGGCCUGAGAGGGUGACCGGCCACAUUGGGACUGAGAUACGGCCCAGACUCCUACGGGAGGCAGCAGUGGGGAAUAUUGCACAAUGGGCGGAAGCCUGAUGCAGCAACGCCGCGUGCGGGAUGACGGCCUUCGGGUUGUAAACCGCUUUCGCCUGUGACGAAGCGUGAGUGACGGUAAUGGGUAAAGAAGCACCGGCUAACUACGUGCCAGCAGCCGCGGUGAUACGUAGGGUGCGAGCGUUGUCCGGAUUUAUUGGGCGUAAAGGGCUCGUAGGUGGUUGAUCGCGUCGGAAGUGUAAUCUUGGGGCUUAACCCUGAGCGUGCUUUCGAUACGGGUUGACUUGAGGAAGGUAGGGGAGAAUGGAAUUCCUGGUGGAGCGGGGGAAUGCGCAGAUAUCAGGAGGAACACCAGUGGCGAAGGCGGUUCUCUGGGCCUUUCCUGACGCUGAGGAGCGAAAGCGUGGGGAGCGAACAGGCUUAGAUACCCUGGUAGUCCACGCUGUAAACGGUGGGUACUAGGUGUGGGGUCCAUUCCACGGGUUCCGUGCCGUAGCUAACGCUUUAAGUACCCCGCCUGGGGAGUACGGCCGCAAGGCUAAAACUCAAAGGAAUUGACGGGGCCCCGCACAAGCGGCGGAGCAUGCGGAUUAAUUCGAUGCAACGCGUAGAACCUUACCUGGGUUUGACAUGGAUCGGGAGUGCUCAGAGAUGGGUGUGCCUCUUUUGGGGUCGGUUCACAGGUGGUGCAUGGCUGUCGUCAGCUCGUGUCGUGAGAUGUUGGGUUAAGUCCCGCAACGAGCGCAACCCUUGUUCACUGUUGCCAGCACGUUAUGGUGGGGACUCAGUGGAGACCGCCGGGGUCAACUCGGAGGAAGGUGGGGAUGACGUCAAGUCAUCAUGCCCCUUAUGUCCAGGGCUUCACGCAUGCUACAAUGGCUGGUACAGAGAGUGGCGAGCCUGUGAGGGUGAGCGAAUCUCGGAAAGCCGGUCUCAGUUCGGAUUGGGGUCUGCAACUCGACCUCAUGAAGUCGGAGUCGCUAGUAAUCGCAGAUCAGCAACGCUGCGGUGAAUACGUUCCCGGGGCU